UUCAAGUCUAAAAUAUCGAGCUCAACAGCUAUUUUAAGAGCCAACCCUCACAAACCUUCCUAAAACCUAAAAGAGCUAUUACUGAGUCUCAGCGAAUCUUGCCAUGAUCAGCUCUUCCCAGAAGAGAAGGAAGACCAAGGAUAUGAUUUGCUCAGGAUGAGGAAUGAAGAUGGCCAUCUUGAGCUCAAACAAACAGAAGUCCUCUGAUGAUCUCAUCAGCCAAAUGAGGGGUUUUGACCAAGUGAUGCUCUUGAAAGGAGUGAAAGAAGAGGAUGUGGUAAAUUGUCUUCAGAGAAAAGCUUCUCAAAAGAUCUUAAAACAGCUUGAAGAAUGGUAAGUGUACAGUACUACAAGGGUCAUAGUUACUCACCCUGCUAAAACCACACAGAACAUAAGCUGCGCUCUCUGUCCAUUAAACAACUUCUUCUGCAUUGUUUGUUUCACUUUG